GCGGCAGUGGUGGAAUCGGUAGACACGCCAGCUUGAGGGGCUGGUGACGGCAACGUUGUGGAGGUUCAAAUCCUCUCUGCCGCA
rnacentral:tRNA from 1 species